CAACAGGGCAUUGCCUCAGUAACGGCGAGUGAAGCGGCAAAAGCUCAAAUUUGAAAUCUGGCACCUUCGGUGUCCGAGUUGUAAUUUGAAGAAGGUAACUUUGGAGUUGGCUCUUGUCUAUGUUCCUUGGAACAGGACGUCACAGAGGGUGAGAAUCCCGUGCGAUGAGAUGCCCAAUUCUAUGUAAAGUGCUUUCGAAGAGUCGAGUUGUUUGGGAAUGCAGCUCUAAGUGGGUGGUAAAUUCCAUCUAAAGCUAAAUAUUGGCGAGAGACCGAUAGCGAACAAGUACAGUGAUGGAAAGAUGAAAAGAACUUUGAAAAGAGAGUGAAAAAGUACGUGAAAUUGUUGAAAGGGAAGGGCUUGAGAUCAGACUUGGUAUUUUGCAAGCCUUACCUUCGUGGUGGGGUCCCCUGCAGUUUACUGGGCCAGCAUCGGUUUGGAUGGUAGGAUAAUGACUUGGGAAUGUGACUUUGCUUCGGUAAAGUGUUAUAGCCCUUGUUGAUACUGCCUGUCUAGACCGAGGACUGCGUCUUUGACUAGGAUGCUGGCAUAAUGAUCUUAAGUC
rnacentral:rRNA from 2 species